UUAUAACUUCUGGGGAGCCAUGGACAACGUCUUUACACCCCAUAUAGGGCACUAACGCCAAUCUAAAGAAAUGAUUCUAACAAGGUCUAGCUUGGACUUUGGAGCCUGUCCUGGAACUAACUUUUGUAGACCAGGCUGGCCUCGAACUCACAGAAAUCCGUCUGACUCUGCCUUCCAAGUGCUGGGAUUAAAGGCGUGCGCCACCACC